GACGAACGCUGGCGGCGUGCUUAACACAUGCAAGUCGAGCGAUGAAGUUCCUUCGGGAAUGGAUUAGCGGCGGACGGGUGAGUAACACGUGGGUAACCUGCCUCAUAGAGGGGAAUAGCCUUUCGAAAGGAAGAUUAAUACCGCAUAAGAUUGUAGUAUCGCAUGAUACAGCAAUUAAAGGAGUAAUCCGCUAUGAGAUGGACCCGCGUCGCAUUAGCUAGUUGGUGAGGUAACGGCGCACCAAGGCGACGAUGCGUAGCCGACCUGAGAGGGUGAUCGGCCACAUUGGGACUGAGACACGGCCCAGAAUCCUACGGGAGGCAGCAGUGGGGAAUAUUGCACAAUGGGGGAAACCCUGAUGCAGCAACGCCGCGUGAGUGAUGACGGUCUUCGGAUUGUAAAACUCUGUCUUCAGGGACGAUAAUGACGGUACCUGAGGAGGAAGCCACGGCUAACUACGUGCCAGCAGCCGCAGUAA
rnacentral:rRNA from 1 species